AUGGAAGGAAGGGGUCCCUCUUUCACGUUUUUGUUUCUGGAUGAUUGAUGAUUUUCUUUUGGAGGGAGGGGUCUGACUGAGGACGGAGGCGAGGGUGGGUAGGUGGUGUCGAUUUGGGGAGGGAUCUUAAUGGCGGGAAACAAACA
rnacentral:ribozyme from 1 species